UGGGGAAUAGUGGACAAUGGGCGAAAGCCUGAUCCAGCCAUGCCGCGUGUGUGAAGAAGGUCUUCGGAUUGUAAAGCACUUUAAGUUGGGAGGAAGGGCAGUAAAUUAAUACUUUGCUGUUUUGACGUUACCGACAGAAUAAGCACCGGCUAACUCUGUGCCAGCAGCCGCGGUAAUACAGAGGGUGCAAGCGUUAAUCGGAAUUACUGGGCGUAAAGCGCGCGUAGGUGGUUUGUUAAGUUGGAUGUGAAAUCCCCGGGCUCAACCUGGGAACUGCAUUCAAAACUGACAAGCUAGAGUAUGGUAGAGGGUGGUGGAAUUUCCUGUGUAGCGGUGAAAUGCGUAGAUAUAGGAAGGAACACCAGUGGCGAAGGCGACCACCUGGACUGAUACUGACACUGAGGUGCGAAAGCGUGGGGAGCAAACAGGAUUAGAUACCCAUGUAGUCCCUGAGCGGGCUGGCAAGGCGCAU
rnacentral:rRNA from 1 species